rnacentral:misc_RNA from 1 species
AAACCUUCAAGCUCAGCUUGGUGUUGGGUGACUGUCCGCUUGCGGACUCGCCUCAAAAUGAUUGGCGGCCGGUACUUUUGGCUUCGAGCGCAGCAGAAACGCGAACUCGAGGCCUGUGUGCUGGCUCCCAGAAGCUAUCUUCACAA